CGGAACGUAGCGCAGCCUGGUAGCGCACCUCACUGGGGGUGAGGGGGUCGUCGGUUCAAAUCCGGCCGUUCCGACCA
rnacentral:tRNA from 1 species